GAAAAAUGAGAUAAAACUCUCUUGUCAUUGUAAAAAGCAUUUGAAUUCCUAAGGUGUGAUAAGGCCACCCAGCCAUCCAUAGUCAAGCCAUAAGCUCUUCA